rnacentral:rRNA from 1 species
UACAGAGGUGGCAAGCGUUGUUCGGAAUUACUGGGCGUAAAGGGCGCGUAGGCGGCCUUCUAAGUCGGACGUGAAAGCCCCAGGCUUAACCUGGGAACUGCGUCCGAUACUGGGAGGCUUGGAUUCGGGAGAGGGAUGUGGAAUUCCAGGUGUAGCGGUGAAAUGCGCAGAUAUCAGGAGGAACACCAAUUGCGAAGGCAGCUCGCUGGGACGUUACUGACGCUGAGACGCGAAAGCGUGAGGAGCAAACAGG